GGAUAUGAGAGUGAUCUGGCUGCGACAUCUGUCACCCCAUUGAUUGCCAGGGUUGAUUCGGCUGAUCUGGCUGGCUAGGCAGGUGUCCCCUUCCUCCCUCAUUGCUCUCUCCUGAAGCUGCACGCUCAGUCGAAGAGGACAGCCUUCCCCAAGUAGAGACGGACUGGUCUUCGGUCAAGAGUAUACGAGUAGCUGCGCUCCCCUGCUAGAACCUCCAAACAAGCUCUCAAGGAUAAGUUAAAAUAUACUAAUAGUAUAUUUUAACUUAUAAAUAUGGCAGCAUCUACUUCUAAUGAGUAUUUCUGAAAAAAUGU
rnacentral:snRNA from 1 species